ACAGACCGAAGCGCUUAACCCCUCCGAGCCGCUUCGGUCCGACGGACAGCACUCCUCCUCCCACGGCUGUCGGUCCCUAUCGAAGCCCGGCGCACCUCUCCCGCGCCGGGCUUUUGUC
rnacentral:sRNA from 1 species